GAGCUGGGAAGCCGCCCCGCCCCCUUGGGGGCGUGGCGGAAGAGGCUGCAGGCUGGCGGCCCGGCUCUGCCCGCGCUGCUUUGCCUGUCUGCUGUUAGCAGGCAAGCGGCUUCGUGGAUCCGGUGGUUACUGGAGGAGCUGGUGGUAAAUUAGAGAGGAGGAAGACGCUCAGUGUUGACUGCGGCGAGCACACUGACACUUCUUGAAAUCUUCUCAAAAUUGACAAUUUUCGUAGUUGUAAAGAUAGGUGAUAUUACAGGGUUCACUUUGCCUUGGGAACUUCUCAGCGCGAAGCUUUCCUUUUAAAAACCGUUCUCCUCAGGCAACGCUGUAUUUACUGGUUUAUUAGAAGGCCCCGCCAUGACUCCAGGGCUAGGAAAGUGGUGGGGAAGAAAGCAGGAUGACCACAAAUGGGGCACUGAGGAGGAUUCCUGCCUCCAAACAGGAAUACUAAACUCACAUCCUGCGGCUUAAUUCGUCUCAGGCCCAUUCCAUGUGACACUUGUCGGGUACCUUGUUAAAUCCAACAAAAUAAAGAUGGUCUUGGGAGGACUUUCCCUGCGCUGUAGCUCUGUGUGGCUAAAGAUUGGGUGUUACUGCUACAGUCUGCAGCUGUUGACCUAGAAAAGGCAAGAAAGGGAACAUAACUGCCCAGAGUUGCGGCCCAGCUUUGCAGUUCUCAGAAGGCUUGUGUGUCAAGCAAGUUUCCUAACAGCUACAUAAGGAGUGAGGUGUCCUACAUUGGAGGACCUGGGUAUAAGUCCUGGACUCUAUUCUAUGUUCCAGUUUCUUGCUGAUGUGCACUCUGAGAGGCAGCAGGUAGGUGAUGGUUCAAAUUCCUAUCACCCUUGUGGGAGGCCUGGAUUGGAUUCAAGUCUCCUGGUUUCUGCGUGGCCCGGCACUGGCACUGGCCACUGUGGGCAUUUGAGGAGUGAACCAACAGAUGACAGCUCUCUGUAUGUCUCUCCAUUCCUGUCUCACUGUCUCUCUCAGCUUAUCAAAAAAAAAAAUAAGUACAGCUUAAUAAUAUUAGCAGAAACAGAUUAGCGUUUUAUGGAAACAGCAUAUGACAGAGUUGGUGUUACCAAUUAGUAAAGAAGGAUGAAUUACUCACAAAAUGCUGUCAAAGCUGUGGGCUAUCCAUAUGGAAAUAAAAUUGCAUCUCUGAUUCUCGUCAUAUAAAUUCCAGAUGGAUUGAAGACAUACAUGUUAAAUAUUUGUAAUAUGUUUAGAAGAAAACAAAAAAUCUUUAACCUCAGUAUAGGGGAGGAUUUUUUUUUUCUUUUUUAAGAUUUAUUUAUUUCUUUGAAAGUCAGAAGUCAGAGUUACACAGAGAGAGGAGAGGCAGAGAGGUUUUUCCAUCUGCUGGUUCACUCCCCAGUUGGCGCCAACUGCCGAAGCUGCGAUCUGAAGCCAGGAGCCAGGAGCUUCUUCCAGGUCUCCCAUGCAGGUGCAGGGGCCCAAGGUCUUGGGCCAUCUUCCACUGCCUUCCCAGGCCAUAGCAGAGAGCUGGAUUGGAAGUGGAGUGGCCAGGACUUGAAGCGGCACCCAUAUAUGAUGCCAGCACUGCAGGCAACGGCUUUUACACACUACACCACAGUGCCAGCCCAGGGAAGGAUACCUUAAAGAAAGAAAAUGCAAAUAUUAGAAGAGAAGCUCAUCAAAAUAUGAGAAAGCAGGUACAAAAUAAUGAAGAAGGAAUAUAUUUGUGACCCAUAUAAUGUCAAUGGAUUCAUCCUCGUGGUAAAAAAAUAGAUCAUGGAAAGCCUCUGUGCCAGCCCAGGAGAUUUUAGGAAAGUUCUCUUAGGUCAGGGUUUCUCUGCUUGGACAUUAUUGACAUUUUAGAGACUUUUUUGUUGAGGGUGAGCUUUCUGCACACUGUAGACCAUUUAACUACAUUUCUCCUCAACCCACAAGAUGCCAGUAGCCCCCACCUUGAUUAUGAGAAUUAAAAUGUUUCCAGACAUUGCUAAGUAGUUCCUUGUGGGGGGCACAAAAUCACCCCUGGUUAAGACUCACUACUAAAAAUGUAUGGAUUUGUAGUUGUUAAACCAUUUAUAAGCACGAGAUGUGUAAAGUAAAUGGGUGAUAUGUAUAUUGGGGAACAUAGGGAAUUAGAAAACUCAUGUACCUUCCAAGGGAGGGAAAUUUUUUCAUGCAAGAUUGUAGAAAAAUUUUUCCAUGUCUUCUGAUCUUGUGCGGGUCUGGACCUUGAUUGUGAGCCUCCUGAAGGUGAUCUUUCUGCACAGAGGACAUUUCAGAGGACAGAGGACAUUUGAACUGUAACACAUUGAAUGUGUUACAGUUCAAAAUUGAGAAGCCAUGUUCCUAAAUUUUUAGUUUUGUAUUCAAACCUUAUUUAUAUAAAUGCAAAAACUUUGUUACAGUCAAGCUUAAGGAGGAUUUUAUAAGUUAAAUUCCUAAAGGGUCAUAAAAUCACUAUACUUAUCUUAAUACUGUUGGGCACAUACUGGAUACAUCUAAAUCUAAAGUUAACAAUUGAUCAUAAUAUAGGACUAAGAACCAAAGGGAUCACAUAAACAAGAAUAGUGUCUGCAAAUACUAGCUGAUAGAAUAAAAAAGGGAGAGAACGAUCCAACAUGGGAAGUGAGAUACACAGCAGACCCAUAGAAUGGCAGAUGUCCUAAACAGCACUCUGGCCUCAGAAUCAGCCCUUAAGGCAUGCGGAUCCAGCUGAAAAGCCCAUGAGAGUAUUUCAGGCAUGGAAAGCCAAGACACUCUGGGGAAAAAAAAAAAAAAAAAACACCUAAAUGAAAGAUCUCUGUGAGUGAGAUCCCAGUGGAAAAAAUGGGUCAUCAAAGAAGGAGGUACCUUUCUCUGAAGGGAGGAGAGAACUUCCACUUUGCCCAUGGCCUUGUCUAAAUAGGAUCAGAGUCGGUGAACUCAGGGGGCUUCCAUAGCCUUGGCAGCUCAUGACAAGAGCCUAGGGUGAUUACUGAGGCCAUAAACAAGAGUGUCAAUUUGUUAAGUCAACAACAGGAGUCACUGUGCACUUACUCCUCAUGUAGGAUCUUUGUCCUUAGUGUGCUCUACAUUGAGAUUUAAUGCUAUAACUAGUACUCAAACAGUUUUUCACUUUAUGUUUCUGUGUGGGAGCAAACUGUUGAAAUCUUUACUCAAUGUAUUCUAAACUGAUCUUCUGUAUGUAACGAGAAUUGAAAAUGAAUCUUGAUGUGAAUGGAAGGGGAGAGGGAGUGGGAAAGGGGAGGGUUGCGGGUGGGAGGGACGUUAUGGGGGGGAAGCCAUUGUAAUCCAUAAGCUGUACUUUGGAAAUUUAUAUUCAUUAAAUAAAAGUUUAAAAAAAUGAAAAAUAAAUCUAAAGUUAAAAAGAAGAGGAGGGGAAUAAGUUCUAUAAAGUAUUCUAAAAACUGUUUGUAAACAAAGAUUUCAAUGUAAAGCCAAAGGAGUAAACUGUGCAUUGUAAACUGUCACAAGUCAGCCUGUUUCUCUAAUAGGCCCAAAUUCCAGCCAUUAGCACUUAAAUAUCAACUAUAUACACAUUCUUCUUCUUCUUUUUAAAUAUUAUUACCUCAGCUCUUUUUCUCACAUGGAAGAAGAAUUUCCAAGUGGACAAGCAGUGAUUUUUUUUUAAGAUUUUAUUUAUUUAUUUUUGAAAGGCAGAGUUACAGAGAAGCUGAGGCAGAGAGAGAUAGAGAGAGAGAGGUAGAGAGAGAGGUCUUUCAUCCACUGGUUCACUCUCCAGAUGGCCACUAUGGCCAGAGCAGGGCUGAUCUGAAGCCAGGAGCUUCUUCUGGGUCUCCCAUGCACGUACAGGGGCCCAAGGACUUGGGCCAUCUUCUACUGCUUUCCCAGGCCAUAACAGAGAGCUGGAUCAGAAAUGGAGCAGCCAGGACUUGAACUGGCACCUAUAUGUACACAUUGUUCUUUACCAUAUAUAUACUACUUCAGGUUUCACGUUUAUCAUUACUGUACUUAGUAUCCCAGCUUUCAAAGAUUAAAAUAUAUUCAACCUGGGAAAUAAUUAUGAUCGAAACCUGAGACUAAAUUUUCCUGUACAACAUACCAAGAUAUUUCUGGGUCAGAUGUAGAAGAAAUUCUUGGUUAAAACACAAAUGGGACACACCAAAUCCUAACCUGCCAUAACUAACUCUCUUACUUAGUAAUGGAAGCAUUUCCCUGGUUUCAUUUUGUUCUCUAGUCAUUCCCCACUAAUAAACAUCUUCUGACCCUACUAAGAUUAUAGUCAGCACAUCAGCCAGUUUUGGCCCUGAAGGUAGAUGAAUGCCAUCCAAUUACACUGUAUGUAGUUCAAGGAUUUGCUUGGCUCCUUCAUCAUAUAUUCUUGGGUGAGAAGCAAAAGCAUGUGUGUGAACUGACUUGAGUUUACUGCCCCUGUGGUCAUGAUGUGAAUGAUAAGGUUUCAAGCAGGUGUUUGUAUUGGGAGGAGUGGGGUGGGGAGGUAAUGGUCAAAUUUGUGAGUGUUCUUGGCAGUAACAUAGAGAAGGGGCAAAAUGAAUGUGAAAAAUUGAUUCAGAAUUCAAUUUGAUUAGUUGGGUGAAACAUGGUCCUAAAUGGGAUGGGUAACAGAAUGGUUAAAAAAGAACAUGAUUGUAGGAAGUGGAUUCAAUGGAACUUAAUUAUUAGCACCAUAAGAUGUUCUCCCAUGGAUGAAUGGCAUCACAAAGUUGCCCUAUUUUGGUACAAUAAAGCUAGCCUUAAAUACCCUUGUUUCAAUUAAAGCUGUGAGCUGCCCUAGAAAUUUAUGGAUGAGGUGAAGCCUAUUCUGGGCUGUGAACACUGAGAAGCUGAUAGCACAGCAUCUGGGAAUGUAUUCAAUGAAGCUGGAUAAAGGGACCUGCAGGGUCAGAGUUGUGGGACAGCAGGUUACGCUGCCUUCAGAGUGCUGGUUGAGUCCUGGCUGCUCUGCUUUUAAUCCAGAUCCCUGCUAAUGUGCCUGAGAAAGCGGAGGAAGAUGGCCCGAGUUCUUGGGGCCCUACCAUCCAUGUGGGAGACACAGAUUGAGUUUCAGGCACCUAGCUUUGGCCUAGACUGGCCCCAGCCAUUGCAGCCAUUCAGGGAGUAAACCCACGGUUGAAACACUCUCUCUGUGUCUCCCUCUGCCUCUACCACUGUGCCUUUCAGACAGAUAGAUAGACCUUAAAAAAGGAACUGCAGCCUUCACUAUACUUAUUGACAUUAAAAUGCAACUCUUCUGAAAUUAUUUGUUUGGAACAUGUACUGCAGCAGAGAAGCUCAGAUUAAAAAAAGAAGUAAGGCUGCUAAGUAAGGUAUACAUGUUUAGCUGUCAGAUGGGAGAAAUAGCAUAUAAGUAACUGCAGAUUUUGAAAAUGUUCAGCCUAGUUUCCUGACAAGAGUUCUAUUUCACCAUAUGUGUUAUAAUACUUAAGGUUGAUACAUAUUGGGUUCUAACAAGAAGGAUUGAUCUGACCUGUCAGAAUUUUGAAGGUUAAAUAAAAAUUGGUUUAUUUUUCAAAGGGUAGAUUAAAAAGAUUCAAUUUACUUUACAGUUGAGUCAAGCAUUUUUCCCCUAAGGAAAUAUUACAUUGAAGUUGGAGAGCAGAGUUAACAAUAAAAGUCACAGGAGAAAGCUCUCUUAAUGGGGUUCCCUAGAGCUUAAUAAAAGCCAAAUUUGCUAGAUGCCACCUCCUGUGGAAUUAUCACAACUUCCCAGUGCUAUUCUGCUUUUCAAUGCACAGUUUGCCAGACACUCUGACAGCCUGUUUCAUCAGUGGUUAUUGGCUUGUUGUCUUAAGGUUUUUGAACUUAUUGCCCAAACUAUUUCGUGGUAAUAAAAUAUUAAAUCCAAAUGCCUUAUUUUUUUAUGCCUGGUAUGGAGAUGAAUUACUACUCCAUACUUCUGCAUCUUACUUCAUGAACAGAAAAAGGAAUUUAUUCUGCCUUUACCUGUAGUUAAAUUUUGACAGUUUUUUUCCUCUAAAGGUGUGAAUAUGAAAGUCCGAAUGAAUAGAUCCAUAGAUUGGUGUUUUGCUUUUGGAUAGGAAUAGGGUAUUUUUUAAAUUUUUUUGCACAACAAACAUUUGAGUACAUAUUAUAUUUAGGUAUUAAGCCUGGACAUGGUGGCAAAAAGAUCCAAGACCCUGGUGUCUGUGCACAAGUAUCUUAUGCUGUAAUAUGAUGACAAGUAUAUCUGUCAAUUACAACAUAGUAUGAUAGAGAAGUAGAAUGAAUCUUGAAAUAAGGCCGGUGCAAAACUGUUUGUUGUUCUUCCU